ACCAAAUCCCCUGUACACAUAUACGGACUCAGAGGAUGAGCAGCCUACAAAAAAACGGUUUCCCCAGGCCCCUCGAGUGAAAAUACCAGCCCUCAUCACUCCGCAGUCUGCCCCCCAGCCCACUGAUAGCAACCAUCAUAAUGCCCCACCCAGCUUCCGGCACCUUUCGCCACUCCGGCACAAACCGACACAGCUUUGCGAUCUCGCCAGCAUGUAGAGUCUGAUGUCUUCCCUAUAGAUGAUUCCAGAGACUCUGUGAGGCCACUAUUGCAAGGUGAGACGCUUUGCGUUGAUUGGUGCUGCUGGACCACACUGGAGGUGCGAGUCCGCCGUGUAAUGGUUUAUGCCAUUACAAAGGAGCUGGCCUCUGUACUCAACUGGGCAGGGAAAAAAUACCAAGGACCAGAGAAAGCAAAAAAGGGCAUUUAAAGAGACAGCGCUGUGCAGAUGCAUAUUUGAUGGCCUGGCGCAGCAGGUAGGGGCGAACUCUAUGUCUGAGUUGGUCUUUGCUCAAGCAGUCCAGAAAUGGCUCAGAUAUGCUCCAGGUCGUACGGGUGGCGCGCAGGACACACAUCAUCCAUCCCCAUCCCGGAGUAAAUGAUAAAAAGUGACGUGAAACAUAGAAAUGUAAAUAGGAAACUUUGUCUUUUAAUAAAGUAUUUUGCAAAUGAUACAUGUCUAUUGACCUUUUUUGUUUUUUUUCAAUAAAAAGCAACUGUGCGAAAGAGGUGGAAAAUCAACACCAUAGCUCAACAGUGUUUCAAUAUCAGAAUCUGACAUUGUUUCAAUGUCAACAGUGUUAGAAAAUAUAACGUUGAAUCAAUGUCAAGUUUCAACAUUGAUUCAACAUCAAAACCUGACGUUGUUUCAAUGU